GUUUGGAGUGGGUGUGUCCACAGGAAACUUGGAGGUGGAUUGCACAGUGUGUUCAAGGUCUAUGCUGGUCUACCUCAGGAAGGUGCCUUCAGCUGCUUGGGAAAAUUCCAUUCAAGGCUGGUCAGAUUGUUGGAGAGAGAUCUGCAGAAGUGUGAAAGUUUUGCCACUGAGCUGGUUCCUGCAGAUGUUCAAGUAUCUAAGCAGGGGAAGGGCAGGGGAGGGAAAUGACACCUGCCAGCUUUUUCUUCUUGGAGAAGUCUCCCAAAGAUCUCUGCCCACCCAGGAUGUGCUCUGAGCUUCUCCCAUCCUGGAGCUGGUCUCUCAGAAGAUACUCCUGGAAUUCCAAUUGCAGGGUUUCCCCAUCACUGAACACGAGGUGUUUUGUUCAAGCAGACGGCAAAAUGACAGAAUCAGGAAGGUCCAUGGUGGUUGGUAAGGCAUACUGGUAGAUUUUUUGUAAGUAUCAUGCCUAG